GCCCCCGCUUGGGACCGACCACCCCGGGACCCCCACCGGGGGCCGUCCGCUCCGGGGGCCGUCCGCUCCGGGAUCCCCACCCCGGGCCGUGGCCUUGGCGCCCCACGUCGGGCGCGCGCCUUCUCUGCGCGCGAGCCCAGACGCGUGGAUGGUCCCUGAGGUUUCGGUCCAGUGCAGCCGAGGAAGCGGCGCCGGCUCUCUGAGGCCCCGCGUGGUCCCCCGGGCUCUCGCGGGCUCUCACCUGGCUCGCGCACGACCGGCAUCCUUGCACCUGCCUACCGGUGCGGUGUCGGUGGAGUUGACUUAGGGUGUGGCGUCUCCUCUCUCCACCGGGUACCAUACAUUUCCUUUUGCGUCCGGCCACACUGUCACGCCUGAGUGGCCUGGGAGUCACUCUCGGGGCACGCAGUGUGCAGAGGACACGCAUAUCUCGGACCGCAGCUGUACUGCUUCGUCUUUCGUCCUUCUGAGGGUCUGGGCCUACCCCUCUGUCCUGCUGGCGGGAGUGUCCGCCCUUUCUGUUCGCACUGUGCUUUGUAAUUUGGGGACUUUCCUGGACAUAAACACUGCUCCUUGCAUCAGGCCAUCGCCAGAGACGCUGCCGUCUUCACUUGGUGGGAAGUGCCCUGUCCCCAGCAGUAUAGCUGGAGGAGGCUCACCCAUGGGGCAGCGCUGUGGCCAGCCCCUGCUUCUCCUGACAGCUGGAAGCUCUGUGGGUUUUUUUCCCAAUCAGUGGUCCUUCCUGAGGAAGCUCCCAGGCUGAGGGAGAGAGAGACGAGUCAUGCCGGGGCCUAGCUCUGCGGUGGACACCAGGCCACGAUGGCUGUGGGCAGGCAGCCAGGAAGAGCUCUCCCUGGGGAGACCUCUGGCGGGACCAGAGGAUGUGGCCGUGUGUGUGGAGGGGGCGCGCUCUGCUGCGGCGCCUUCAACAGGUGUGCAGGGUAGGUGCUGGGCCCGCAGAGGUGCCGGGGUGCCCUCCCAAGCGCGGGGCCGCAGCUCAGGGUGUGGCUGUGCCCAGUGGAAGGCUGGGUGCUUCCCGGCCUCUGUGGGCCUCUGGGAGGGUGGGGUGUUCGCAGGACAUCUGCCUGCGUCCCUCCUCUUUGGGAGGUCUCGCCUGCCCAGGCCUGGUCUCCACCCUCCUCUCUCCCGUCUUGGCAUUGGGCCCAGUGUUGGGUCAUGCUGGAACCCCCCCCCCAGUGUUNNNNUCUCUCUGCUGUCAUUGUUGGCACCCCCCCCCCCGCCAGACCUCUUGCUCUCCCUGGGGGCACAGAUGCCCCCUCCUGGCGCGUACAUACACCCUCCCUCCCCCCGGAACUAGGAGUGCAGCCUCCUGGGGCUCUGAGAAGACCACUGAGGUUUUAAUCAGAGUGAGGAAGGGGAGGCGGGGGGUCUGGGGCAUGGAGCUGGUCUAGGACGCCCACCCUGCUGUGUGUGUGCGGGGAGGGGCGGGAUAGGGGGUGNNNNNNNNNNNNNNNNNNNNNNNNNNNNNNNNNNNNNNNNNNNNNNNNNNNNNGUGGGGCACGGGGGGCAGGGCAGGCAGGUUGUUCUGUGGGUAUGGGGCCCAGCGGCCGUAGGGUGGGUGGGCGCAGAGCACCCCUGCCCGUCCCAGUGCGGCCCUCCCCGUGGGUGCUGCCGGCCCCACUGUCCCCCUGGAGCAGGCCUCCGGGCAGGCUGCCCACCCUGCCUGCUUGGAGACUGGGUGCAGAGGCACCGCACUGUGCGUGUGCUCGGCGCGCGCCCGCUCUAACCGCUGUGGGUGCUCACUGGGCCCCAUGAGGCAGCGGUGCGUCUCCGCUCUGUCUCAGCGCUGUGUCCAGCCCCCGGUUGGACUGGUGAUGAACCCACUCCUGGGCCUUCUCACACUGGCAGUGGCGUUUGGGGGGAGCGUUUGCUCGGUGUUACUACCAGGAGGCUUCCCGGAGCGGCUGUGCCAGCUCACCCCCACUGGCGUCCCCGUUGCUCUGCAUUCUUGCCAGCACUGCCUGACUUUUAAUCACUGCCAGUCUGGUGGGUGUGAAACGGUAUUGUGGUUCUGAUUUGAGUUUCUCUGAUCACUGAUGUAGGCCCCUUGUACUUCCCCGUCAGCGAAAUUCUUGCUUGUCUCUCUUGCCAGUUUUUUCCUCCUGCUUUAUCCCCCGACUUGAGCCUCCGUGGGUUUUUAAGGGCCAGUAAUUCCUUUUUAGCACUGUGUUGAAAGCACCCUCUUCUCUGCAAGGCCAUGGUGCCACCCAAGGUGCGCCUGGUGUUGGCCUUGGUCUUGUCCUGUGGUCUGUCCUCCCCGGGGCUGUUGGGAGAGCUCUCUGCUCUCCCUGGGAGCUGCUGCCAGGCCCGCGGGGCUGCGACAGAGGCAGGCUCGGUUUCCUGCAUUUCCUUGGGGGCACAGACUGCACCCCCUGCAGUGACCCUCAGCCCUGGUGUCCCACUGCCCCUACCCCCGCGGGGAUCCCCUGAGCAGCCUCCUGCCGCACCCCCACCCACUGGUCUGGGGCAUUUUGAACCCUUGUACUUGCCCCCUAAUGUUCUGUCCUGUUGAGGUCUCACAGGGUCAGAUCUCUCUGCAGGCUUACUGAGCGCUCUCGUUCCUGUGGCCCCUCCUGUCGGUGCCCUCGCCUGGCUCACCUUCCAGAAGGGGCUGCAGCUGGAGCGUGGGCUUUGGCGUCUGCGUGCUGGGCCCUCUGCAGCCUGCGGCUGGGCGAGNUGGCUCACCUUCCAGAAGGGGCUGCAGCUGGAGCGCGGGCUUUGGCGUCUGCGUGCUGGGCCCUCUGCAGCCUGCGGCUGGGCGAGUGCCGGUUGCCCGGGCCAUGGCUGCGCUGUGGGCCCCGCGCCCUAGGCGUCGCCCACCCGGCAUUCUGUGCAGGUCCUGUGUUCCCCUGCCUUUUCACCUUCAGCCACUUUGGAGGCUGUGCUGGGGUUUCUCUGUGGGGGCACGCCAGGCGCAUAUAGCGUGCGGGCGCUGGGUGUGAUCAAACUCUCAGAGCCGGACGUCGUCCUGCUCCUUUCCCUGCCGAUGUGGGUCUUCCAGCAUUAAACCUGCCUCUCCCUCUUGGAAACAUAGCAGCGUGCUAGCGUGGUGGUGCCCUGGUCCCCUUCCCGCAGGCAGGUAGAUGGGAUCAGACUUUGCCCAGGACGUCGUAUCUCUGCCUGGGGUCUGUAAUCUGCUCGUCUGCUGCCCUUACCCGAUUUUGAUGCCAAGAUACNNNNNNNNNNNNNNNNNNNNNNNNNNNNNNNNNNNNNNNNNNNNNNNNNNNNNNNNNNNNNNNNNNNNNNNNNNNNNNNNNNNNNNNNNNNNNNNNNNNUACCCGAUUUUGAUGCCAAGAUACCUGCAUGUGUCUGUGUGAAGCAGGAGCUGUUUGUUCUCUGAACGUCCGGGCGACGGUGAGGGUGCCGGCCAGGGGCCUGACUCCAGGCUGUUCGGGGCCAGGGGUGGCUCCUGGCUUGGCUGCUUUAGUGGCUGCAGAGUCCCCAUCCCUGCCUUUCAGGUAGCUUUAGAAACAUCUUUCUGUGAAUUUGUCCAUUUUUUCCCGAUUUUCAACUUGAUUGGCAAAAAGUUGUUCCAAACGUUCUUUUCCUAAAAGAAUGCCUGCGGGGCCUGUGGAGCUCUCCCCUUCCGGUCCCUUCCGUUGGCCGUGCGGGUGGGCGUCCACACGCGGGUGCAUCUCACCAGGGGUCCAUCAGGCGUGUUUUUUCAAUGGACGUUCACACCUUCCUUUCCAUCCACGCUCUUUGUCUCUGUCACGUGCGCGUGAUCCGGUCUCUUUAAGGUGCACUCACAGCUCCUCCCUUCUCCUCCUUGCCUCCCGUGCUUGGUUUCUGAUCACUCGCGUAUUCGUUUGCCUUUGGCCGCACUGGGCCCUGGUGGCCACACUGGGCCCUGGUCGCCGCGCGGGCUUCCCUGGUUGGGGUGUGCGGGGCUCCUCUGCACCGUGGCGGGCGGGCGCCUCCCUGCAGCGGUCUCUCCUGGCGCCUAGUGCAGGCUUAGUUGCCCCGCAGCAUGUGGCGUCCUCCCAGACCAGAGAUCAAGCCGGUGUCCCCUGCACUGGUAGGUGGGUUCUUAACCGGAUAACCAGGGAAGUCCCUUCUGUAAAACUUUAAAACUGCAAAAUAAGUAAUGUUUUGACUGCAUUUCGUGAGCUUCUAUGCGUAGAGUUGUUGAGUUUAAAGUCUUUUAAACUUUUCCGUUUCCCCUCUUUGACGCGGUGGGACAUUUCAAAGUCUCUUUGUGUCCAAACCUUCUCCUCUUAUUUUCCAUCGCUGAAUUUGUUUCUUCUCUUUUGAUUGUUCCUGACUUAGUUGUGUUGUGGUCACAGAGGGUGGUCAGUGUGACCCCAGGUCCGUAGGGUGUUUCAGGACUUGCUCUGGGGCUCUGUCUGAAGCCAGCGUUCGUGCGUGUUCUGCUUGUCCUGAAGAGGGCCGUGCGUUUGGCACUUGGUGGUGCCACGUUUGAUGCCUGUCCCUGUGGGUCAUGCUCAGCUUAUAGUGUCUUCAAGGCUUGUUACCUUUCUUGUCUACUUGGGAAGCAGGGAAGAGUCUCCGAGCCUGGAGGGGGCUGUCUGUUCCCCCUGGAGCUCUGUCUUCAGAUCGCAGCCCUGUGGAGUCACAGGCCCUGAGUGCUCACGGCUGACUCGGCACCCAUUGGAGCUUCUCCUCCUGGGAGACUUGGUGGCGGCACCGCGCUCAGCUGUCUGUGGGAGAUGCCCGCCUUGUGUCUCUAAGCUUUCCUGUGUCCUCGCACGUUGCCCGCCUGCGUGUCUCCCGCCUUGUGUCUCUUUAAGCUUUCCUGAGUCCUCUCACGCUGGCUGUGUGCUUUUUAUUUGGCACCAUCUAGAUUUCCUUUUCGUUUGAUCUGACAGUCUUCGUUCUUUAAUCAGGACGUUCAGUCCGUUGUUAUUUGUCUAAGUUGCUGGCGGUUGGGUUCAUGCCUACCACUGCGUUUCUGUCCUUCGUACCCUUUUUUCCUAAGUUUCUCUUUUUCGUUGUACCUUACUGUGCACCUUCCAUUUCUUAUUAGUUUGAAACUUGUCCCUAUUUCUGUCCCUUUCGUGGCCACCGUGUACAUUGCGUGCUUGCUGUUGUGUUUCAGAGUCAACUGUGAAUUGUUUUCCUGAACAACAGAGGGACCUUAGGCCACAGUGUUCUGACCUGUCACGUUCGCGUCUGCGUGCUUUUGUUUAGAGCAUUUUAACGUCUUUUUGAGCCCAUACGAGAUUAUUGUUAUUA
rnacentral:lncRNA from 1 species